GGAAUAUUGGACAAUGGGGGAAACCCUGAUCCAGCCAUGCCGCGUGGGUGAUGAAGGCCCUAGGGUUGUAAAGCCCUUUCGGCGGGGAAGAUAAUGACGGUACCCGCAGAAGAAGCCCCGGCUAACUUCGUGCCAGCAGCCGCGGUAAUACGAAGGGGGCUAGCGUUGCUCGGAAUCACUGGGCGUAAAGCGCACGUAGGCGGCUUUCUAAGUCAGGGGUGAAAUCCUGGAGCUCAACUCCAGAACUGCCUUUGAUACUGGAAAGCUUGAGUUCGGGAGAGGUGAGUGGAACUGCGAGUGUAGAGGUGAAAUUCGUAGAUAUUCGGAGGAACACCAGUGGCGAAGGCGGCUCACUGGCUCGGUACUGACGCUGAGGUGCGAAAGCGUGGGGAGC
rnacentral:rRNA from 1 species